GAUGAACGCUGGCGGCGUGCCUAAUACAUGCAAGUCGAGCGAACAGAUAAGGAGCUUGCUCCUUUGACGUUAGCGGCGGACGGGUGAGUAACACGUGGAUAACCUACCUAUAAGACUGGGAUAACUUCGGGAAACCGGAGCUAAUACCGGAUAAGAUUUUGAACCGCAUGGUUCAAUAGUGAAAGACGGCCUUGCUGUCACUUAUAGAUGGAUCCGCGCCGUAUUAGCUAGUUGGUAAGGUAACGGCUUACCAAGGCAACGAUACGUAGCCAACCUGAGAGGGUGAUCGGCCACACUGGAACUGAGACACGGUCCAGACUCCUACGGGAGGCAGCAGUAGGGAAUCUUCCGCAAUGGGCGAAAGCCUGACGGAGCAACGCCGCGUGAGUGAUGAAGGUCUUCGGAUCGUAAAACUCUGUUAUCAGGGAAGAACAAACGUGUAAGUAACUGUGCACGUCUUGACGGUACCUGAUCAGAAAGCCACGGCUAACUACGUG
rnacentral:rRNA from 1 species